AUCCAGCUGACGAGUCCCAAAUAGGACGAAACACGCGUGCUAGAU
rnacentral:hammerhead_ribozyme from 1 species